UCGUGAGAUGUUGGGUUAAGUCCCUGCAACAGAGCGCAACCCUUGUCAUUAGAUUGCCAUCAUUAAGUUGGGCACUCUAAUGAGACUGCCGGUGACAAACCGGAGGAAGGUGGGGAUGACGUCAAAUCCUCAUGGCCCUUAUGACCUGGGCUUCACACGUCAUACAAUGGUCGGUACAAAGGGUAGCCAAGCCGCGAGGNGGAGCCAAUCUCACAAAACCGAUCUCAGUCCGGAUUGCACUCUGCAACUCGAGUGCAUGAAGUCGGAAUCGCUAGUAAUCGCAGGUCAGCAUACUGCGGUGAAUACGUUCCCGGGUCUUGUACACACCGAGA
rnacentral:rRNA from 1 species